CUCCAUAUAAACCUCUGCAAUUCCUCCAUUCCCUCCCAUCUUACCUUACCAUAACAAAAAGUUCCUUCUCUCUUUCACUCUCACUCUCACUUUUUUCUGUGCUUCUCUUUCUCUCUCUCCUUUCACGCCCUUCGAAUAGUGUAGAGAGGAAAAAAGGUCUCAAAGAUGAAACCAAAAGACGGGUUUUUUGCUGAAGGUCCAUAUAAGGGGUUUCUCAUCAUGCACGUGACUAGCAGCAAGGUGGCCAUGGUCAACCCUCUGAGAAUUGGGAGGUGUGACCGAAAAGAAGCCAUUAGUGGCUCUGAAAUUGGAGCUGACAAUUCUCCUGGAGUGCUGCCAGUAGCAGCAGCAGGAGCUUCAUUCUAAUCUGGUGCUAUCCUAUCUGAGCUUUUUACUUCCUUCUAUCAUCUUUCUUCACCAUCUAGUUUCUACCACACUUCUUUGUUUUUUCUUGAACUCUUCUUGACCUUGUAAGACCUUUUCUUGACCUUGUAAGACCUCACACCCUAUAUGUUUUCUUUGUUUUUGCUUUUGUGGAAGACCCUAUAUCAGAAUCCACUGAUAUAGAGUUUCAUCUCCUUCUUUCCCCGUUGCCACCCAACUCAUCUUCUCCUUCCUUGUCUAUCCCUCCUGAGCUGUUACAAUUUUAUCCUACCAUCAUGAUGCAACCAGUAAUAUCAUGCCAUGGCUUCAAACAAAAUACCUUACCUUAGAACCUCCUUCGGUGGGGUUCUUCAAAUCUGCUAGCUACUCGGAGAGCAUGGCUUCCAAAAGCACAAUCUGGCGUAGUUUAUUUUGCUGUUCUUUUAUUUGCGAGAGAUCAAUGUAGCUUGUACUAUGUGCAGCAGCAGCAGCAGCUAGCAUGCUUGGUCGUGGUCCUUAAGGUAGGUAUGUAUGUAUGGUAAGUUGUAAAGAUUGGCCAUAGUGAAUAAAUCAAUGUUGCUUGUAUUCUGAGGAAUUCAAAAACCUUCUGUGUAAUAUUCUGUUAAGGCAAUCAAUUUCGCUUGUAUCAUUGUGUGCAGAAUAUUUAUGCUGUUGCAGACAUCUGUUUCGUUGUUUUAUAUGUUGUUUGGCUGAGAAAGUGUGCAACUGCAUACAUAUUCUUUUAGAUCUAAGCAAGGGUCUCCCUCGUGACUGCUCCAAUGUACAAAUAUCCGCUGUAUUAUUGGAGUUAUCUCUUUCUCUCUCUCUCUCUGAAAUUCAGAAGCUCUGUGCCUUUUUGAUAAAAGAAAAGAAAAAAAGAGGCUAAAAAUGAAAUCCGAGCUCAGCCUCAUAACUACAAUACAAUAAAGCUGAUUGCUGUUUAUAGUUUUUUUUACCUCCCCCAACAUAAUCAUAGAGCUUCACCCAAAGAGCAUUGAAUUAGUAAAUGGUGAAAGAAGCAAACAAAAACCCAGAAUGAAGUAGAGAGAGAAAGAGAGAGAGAUAAUUCCCUGAUCUUUCCCUAUCUUGUUGAUUUGUUUUCUUCUUUUAUGCAAGACAAGUAAGAUAAAUGUCAUGAGUAAGCUCAAUUUGGCACUACAUGUGUGCUAGGCUGCUAGAGCCCCAUCUCUCCAUCCAAUGCAUAGGACUGAAACCCAUUAAAGUCACACUCCCUCCCUCCAUUUGAAUCAUAUCAAGUAGAAGAAUUUGAAACACCCUUCUCUUACUUGAAAACGCAAUUUCCCUUUCGCUCUCUUGAUUUGGAAGGGUGCUUCAGCCAUUCCUUUCACAUGGCAGGGGAAGGACAAGCACUUUGGGAUAGAAUACAACCUGAGCCCAUAAGGAAUAUCACACACCCCAAUGUUUUUGAUGGGGCUGCCACACACCUACCACCCUCAAAUAGUGAAGAAUAAUAUCUCUCAAAUUACCACUUUCUCCUCCACUUCAUUUUCUGCACAGCAAAAUAUCAAACAUGUCGGCAUCAUAAAAAAAAAAAACAAGAGGGUGGGGUGGAAUUGAUGUGUUUUUAACCAUAUUCCAUUUCAGAUGCCUAACACAUUGUUUCCAUCAAUCACCGGCACGUGGUAGCCCAACCUAAUAGCGUAGACAAAGAUUUUUCUCUGUAUACAUACUGUAUGCAGUAUAUUCCAAAACGGAUGCAUAAAAUUUUGUGUAUUGACACGAUUUGUGUGAUGGUUAUGCAAGUCUAGGGAAAGAAGAAAAAAAUAAAGAAAGAAAGAGAGAAAUCGUGACGCAUCAACUACGGAAAACCUUUUGCAUACAAAUUCAAUUCAACUGCAUACCUUCUUGACUUUAAUAAUAUAUUCUGGUUUUUCAGGUUUUUAA